UAAGGCAUUUUAGGCAUGUUUUGGGUAUGAAAUUUGAUAUGAUGUUUUAUGGGUAUUUUUAAAUGAGAGUUCAAUGUAUUACUGCCAUCAUUAUGAUGAGAAAUCCAUGCCAUUGUCAGGAUAAGCACAUCAAUACCUAAGACACCACUUGUUACACGGUGAAUUAUAUUUUGGACAGAAGGUAGAGAAAGAAAUGUGUGAAUGACAUGAGGAGAACUAAAGCAUGGUCCUGACCCUGAUUUGUACAUAUGAACAUAUCGACCUUUUGUGGGUUAUUUCAGUUAUCAGUGAGAUGUUUGUAAUAAAGUGUGAAGUUAUGUUUUGAAAAUAAAUUGGGUUAUUUAAUACUUA